ACCAACAAGCAAGCAGCACUAUGAAGACCAAGGAGCUCUCCAAACAGAGAAUGGUGAAACAGUUAGAUGCCAACUCUGGAUGGGCUCCCAUUUCCCCCUGUAGAUACGGACGAUGAGUAUUGAUUGAAGGUUGUUUUCUUUUAACAAGUUGAGGUUCUCCAGAUGUAUCCACUGAACGCGUGCGAGGUUCAAGACACAAGGGCAGGGGGCACGGGAUGGGCCGCAGAGCCACGUACAGAAGACCUAGCCCAUGGGGAAGAGAGGAGGACGAAGGGGGGUGAGGGGGGUGGACCCCCACCCUGACACACUGGCAACACUUUUAGGGGGCAUUGCCCUAAUAGUGGUGCUGACUAGGGAAGCGUUCCCGCUGUUCUGUUCUUAGUGCCAGUCUGCAAUUUCAAACUAAAACAAUGUAACUAAUAAUGUCUUCUUUUUGCUUUCAUUAA